rnacentral:rRNA from 1 species
CCUACGGUGGGCUGCAGUGGGGAAUAUUGGACAAUGGGCGAAAGCCUGAUCCAGCCAUGCCGCGUGUGUGAAGAAGGCCUUCGGGUUGUAAAGCACUUUCAGUGGGGAAGAAAGCCUUGGGGCUAAUACCCUCGAGGAAGGACAUCACCCACAGAAGAAGCACCGGCUAACUCCGUGCCAGCAGCCGCGGUAAUACGGAGGGUGCGAGCGUUAAUCGGAAUUACUGGGCGUAAAGCGCGCGUAGGCGGUCUGAUAAGCCGGUUGUGAAAGCCCCGGGCUCAACCUGGGAACGGCAUCCGGAACUGUCAGGCUAGAGUGCAGGAGAGGAAGGUAGAACUCCCGGUGUAGCGGUGAAAUGCGUAGAGAUCGGGAGGAAUACCAGUGGCGAAGGCGGCCUUCUGGACUGACACUGACGCUGAGGUGCGAAAGCGUGGGUAGCAAACAGGAUUAGAUACCCGUGUAGUC